GGAAGAGAAUCCGGGAAAUACUUAUGGAACCCACUGAUGAGGAUAUCUUUGAGGGUUUUGAAGGGGAUUGUGGGGCUGGGAGUCAGGAGGAUGGGAUUUCAGACUCUGGGAGGGAGGAGAUGGAUUGGACUAGGGUUCAGGAGAUCCAGGAGAUUCUUGAGGAACCCACAAGCAGUGGUACGUUUGGGGGAUGGCACAGAGAAGAUACAGAUGGGUCCUGGGGAGUUAUGAGUUUGGAUGGAAGGUGGUCUGGCUGGAGAGAUUGCAGAAGGGCAGCAGUUGGAGGUGGGGCGUUGGCUGGCUCAAGUUCGGAGGAGGACUUGUAGAUAAAAGUAAUUUUGUUGCUAAUGUAACUUUGCAAUCGGCAAGGUGUUUUGUUGGGAGCUUUUCAGGAUCUCUGUUUCAGAAGAUGUGUUUGGAAGACUGCUUUGGGACGUGUUAACCCGGUGGCAACGGGGGCUGGCAUUGUGUGGGUUUGUGCUGGAUUGUCCUGUAUUAUGCAUUAGCUGCUGGCUUGCCUCCGUUGCUUUGUGUUUACCUUGGACUGGAAUUCGGUGAUGCUGACUUCCCCCUGAUGAUUUGGACUGGAAUUCGGUGACUCUGACUGCUCCCUGACGACUUGGACUGGAACUCGAAGCCUGUGACUCUCCUAACGAUGCGGACAGGAUGUGGCGGCUGUGACUUCUCCUUUAUUACGUGGUUUAGCUUUAACUACGUUUUGGGGCAUUGUGUGGCCGUUGGUCACUGUGGGUAACUACUGGUAGCUUUCGUGUGUUUGUUUAGCUCCAACCAGCAGGUGGAGCGAGUUUCCAGCUUUUUCAACUAAGUUUGUUUUAAUCUGGAUUAUUUCCCGGAUAAUCCAGAUUAUAUCCUGAGUUUGGAUUUUUCGAGUUCUUUUUGGACAUUAUCAUCUCACACUGAAGAUAAAGUGUUUUUGAGCCUCUUUUGGUUGUUUCUUAGGCUCCUUUGUGUUGUUUUUGCAAUAAACUGAUUUGUUUAUAUUGGCUGGCGUCUGACUCAUAACAAGAGCAGAGACUUUGAAGUUGCCCACCAGGAGACACUGAGCCCUUCGAUAAUUAUCUGAGUUCAUACGGAUGUCUCUUAGGUCCCAAUCUUCCUCAGUCCACACUGGUACAACAAAUGUAAUAAUUCUUCCUCGAUUACAGAUUAAACUAUAAUAGUUUUAUCUCAAUUAUAGAUUAAAAUAUGCAAAUAUGAUGCAAAUUGUAUUCUACUUUAUCCCUUUUGGCUGAUGAUUCCCCCCCUUUAUGGCAGUGCAUAAAAUGGCAUUUUCACUCUCAAACUCAGAACAAUUGGUGGAGAGCACAUCACAAUAUUAUCGCUUAACUCUCUAUGAUUUGUCAUGCUAGAUUUCAUCACUGAAUCUGCCUGAUCAAAAUAUAUUUAAGAAGAUUUCAAGUAGCACCACUCCAGAGUCAGAACAAGCACAAAGACCAGAUGGAAAAAAGGCAUUGUUUUGUAAGAAGAGAGAUGCCCUUCAAAAAAAACAAAGCCGGCUGACGUACAGAACUGACUGGGCUCCUGUUCCAAAUUACACCGGUUACAUCCCAGGUCACAAGUUCUCAUUUGGAAAGACUUGGGGCAUAAGCACCAGGGAGUCCCUGGAGAGACAGAAGAAAUUCCUACGUGGUGUUCUUACAUCAACUGGCAGAUAGGAGCCUUCAGAAAAAGGUGUGCUACCAAGUGUUAUACACCGAGUAAGCAUCAGCACAUCAUUUCUAAAAACAUUAAAAUAAUUUAACUCUUUUCUUAUUUGUUGUUUGGAAGCAUGAUUGAAAACCUAAAAUCAUUUUUAGGGCUGAGUUGAUAUAAGUCACCUUAUAAAUACCAAGAAAUCAAA